rnacentral:rRNA from 1 species
UAAUACUAGCGGUCCAAGUCGCAGACAUUUUUAUUGGGUCUAAAACAUACGUAGCUUGCUUAAUAAGUUCCUUGUGAAAUUCCAUGUCUCAAGCAUGGAGCGCGCAAGGAGUACUAUUAAGCUAGAGACUGGAAGACGUAGGAAGUACGAUUAAAGUAGCGGUAAAAUGUGUUAAUCUUAAUCGGACUCACAACAGCGAAGGCAUCCUACGAGUACAGUUCUGACAGUAAGGGAUGAAAGCUAGGGGCGCAAAACGGAUUAGAUACCCGUGUAGUCCUAGCCGUAAACACUGCACACUAAACAUUAGUACCUCCUCGAGAGGUAUUAGUGCUGAAGGGAAGCCGAAGAGUGUGCUACCUGGGAAGUAUAGUCGCAAGGCCG